rnacentral:lncRNA from 1 species
ACUAAUAUCUGACCUGUUCAUCAUGAUGAAGCUGAUCCUUUCUCUGACUCUCAUCUGGGCACUCUCCAGCACAGCUGGAGCACUUGAGUGUCAAACUUGCACCAAUACACAGUGUUCAAGCCAGGCGCCUGUGACAUGCGCUUCAGAGACGAUGUGUAUAACAGCUAAUAUUCAAGCCAAUUCAUCUGGAGUGACAGUGCCACAGAUCUUCAAGGGAUGUGCAUCUUCCUCACUGUGUCCAGCCACAGGCCCUCAGACAUUUUCAGUCAACUUGGGUGCUUCCGGUGCAGUUACAUCUGCUGAAUGCUGCAACACAGAUAACUGUAACGCAGCAACUCUACCUGGUAAGUAUAGACAGAAUAUAAAAUAAAAUAUAUUAACAAAUAGAACACUGGCAUCUUCUAAGAUGUUUGAUUUUCAUCAUGAAACACUUUAAUGUUUUCUUUUCUUCGAGUGAAUGAUUUUGUUCUUUUGUCUUUCAGCUCCCGCGACUCCGACAGCCAACAGCCUACAGUGUAACUCUUGUACCAACCAACUAUGCAACACUGCGAUAACAUGCAGGGGAAACGAGGACCGAUGCUUUCAAGCGAGUUUGACAAAUUCAGGCACCACUUCUCCAGCCUUUGGCUGUACAUCUAUAAACGUAUGUGCAGCCGCUCCAGCCCUGGGUAGUCUACCUUUCAUGGAAAGUGUUGGGACUCUCAACAGUGGACCAACCUGUUGUGGGACCAAUUUGUGUAAUACUAUCACGGCAACAACAACAACUCCUGCCCCCACAACAACAACAACUCCUGCCCCAACAACCACAACAACUCCUGCCCCUACAACCACAACGACUGCUGCCCCGACAACCACAACGACUGCUGCCCCGACGACUACUGCCAGUGAUGCCUGCUGUAUCAGAUUAGGUAUGAUCCAUCUUCUCCUUGGACUCCUCAUCUUUACCCUGUGUUAGAACACAGGGUUACAGGGAUGCUCCACCUAUGACGCCACCAGGACUCUGAAAUGACGAAGCCUGGAACUGGGUAACUGCGUGAUGCUGUGUUUAGAUGGCAGUUGGCAAACAUAGUGGAGAAAAUGUCCAUCUCCUUUGUCCCGGUCCACUGGUAAACUAUUUUACGUCACAGAAUGCAUCUUACAAGAGACGAUCUAAAAUUAGCCUUGUGGUGAAUAAUGACGAUGAUUUCUCAGCACUGAGCAGUUACCUGAAGUGAAGCACAUGUCUCAACAAUGGUGUAACAAGUUUUCUGUAAUUCAACAAUGAAUUUAACUGCAAUGUAUUUGGUUGUUUUCAAAUAGAAUGUAUUCACAUUUAUUUAUUUAUCUUUAAUGAUAGUCUAUUUAAAUAUUCUCGUUAAUUAUGUACAUCUUUUGCAUUGUAUUCUUUGAUUGAUCACUUCCCUUUAAGUGAUAAAUCCUAGGGCAGUAUUUUAAUGGAAUGUAUUAAGGUCUACUGUAAUGUUUAUUCUAACCUGUUUUAAUAAAG